CAGAACCGCACACACGAAGAAUGGGUUUAAAGAGUUCAUGCUUUGCAACACAGGAGAAUGACUACAACUAAGAGGAACAGAAAUAGCUAUGAAAUUCACACUGGGACCCUACUACUCCUUGGAUUUUCCGUUCAAACAGCGUGAAUCCGAAGUUCCAAGAUGAGAAACCCCACCUCAUCCCAAAAGAAGUAUGUCCAGGGCAAGGGGAGGGACUUCAGCUGACAAAGGUGUAGCAAGAAACCUUUUUUUUGCCUGCCCCUUCCCCCGCUCCAAUGUGAAUGAAGCCCCUCCAUAUGGCAAAAGCCCCUUUUGCAGUAUUUGCCCCCUUUUGGGGAUGAUUUCUCUUUUCUACCUUUUCUUCCUUCCUCCUUCUUCUUCUUUUAUUGUAUUAUUAUUAUUUUUAUAGAAUAUAAGGUGUACUUAUAAUUAAAAUAUAGUUUGUAGAUGCUUUUAUGGGUAUAAAAUAGUAUUCUGCAUCAGUAUGUUCCCCUCACCCCUCAUUGUAUUUGGCCUAUUUGUUGUAUGUGCCAUGGCAUUUCACUCUUUUAUGUUUUAUAUUCUAUGCUUUCUAACUUUGUAACAAAUGUACGUUAAGUUUGAAAGUAAGUUGUACCAUGUAACAAUGUUAGCAAGGGUGGGAAGUGAACCCCAGCUUCUCUGUAUUGAGUGGGUCCCUAAAUGAAUCUUGAUAGAUUGCAUAACAUAGUAGCUAGCCAGGAUAACAAAUUAAUGAGUGGCAAUUAACACCUACGAAACCACAGACUAAUGAGAGGAAAGGAUCAAUACAGAGCCAGGAACUCCCUGAAACUUCACUGUUAAAGGUACAGAAGCCCCGGUUUGAACUAAUCAAUGCCGAAGACCAACUCUUGGGACUGAAUACCCCCCUGAUCAACCACCCCCAGAGCCCUAUUCAUCAUGGCAGUGAAUUAAUCAAACGUCAGCAACUGACUCCCAAGACUGCACUUACCUGCAGAUGUGACCCCCUGGAGCUGACAGCUGCCAUGCAGCAACCACCAAGGGGAAUGUUCCAUGAGGUCAAUGACUCCUGGAUUGGGUAAGCCCAAAAAUUGGGGAGUCACCGAAGUCUGCCAGAGAGGGAUAAAAGGCAGUGAAGAAUGACCUCCAAUGGCGCCCUCUUUGACCUGACCAGCACCCUGCCUGCCCAGCCAGAAGGACCAGCCAGCAAAACCCCUUCUGAAGCAACAUUGCACUGAAAGAAGCCUUGACUGGCCAUCGAUGGCAGACUCCAGCACUCGGGGACAGGUAUACCUUGACACCAGUGCUCAGUGUUCAUAGCUAGCUACUCUGUGUGUGUGUGUGUGUGUGUGUGUGUGUGUGUGUGUGUGUGUGUGUGUGUUUGAGGGGAUCAGCCCCAAGGUUUAUGAUCUGACUUUUGCAUCCGUGUAAUAAACUAGAAUUUUAUGAUGA